ensembl:lncRNA
GUUUAUAGACUUCCCCCCUGGUUUCCACUCUUGGUUGGUUAUGUGGGUCUACCUCCAGAUGUUUGGUUUCCUCUUCCAAGUACAAAGAAAUCUAGAGGGGAGGAAUUCAAAGAGUAAGAAGAAAGCCAUCUGACCACUGCUUGGUCAGUGGCAGAUCUUCCGGGGGGCAGUGCGUGAUCUGAUUGGCCACCCCGUGUGCCCCUCCAAAAUUUUCGUUGGAAAUUUACUUUACUGAAACUCUGAUUUCCGAGGCUCCUGAACGCAACUUCGUUGUCCGACUGUAACUGAAUGCACCAAUGACGUUAGUUUGAUCUUUUGAUUGUAUUUUUUUUGAAGGAGCUUUCAAGACGUUUCCUGAUGCCGGAGGAGAAGACGAGCAGCUUUGAACCUUUACGAGUGAAAGUAGCAGUUCCUCCUGAAGGUCAGAGAUUGCAGCAUCUGAGGGCCUCUUCAAAAGAAGACGUAGUUGAUGAAGGCAUUCUGGAACAGGACCAGAAAGACCACGACCAAGCAGCCUUGAGAUCUUAGGCAGCGUCUCCCUCAGGUCCCUCUCUAUCUCCCCACACAUCCACCAACCACUGGAACACAUCUCCAAAGUUCUGCCGGGCCAGCUCAGCUUCCCCUCAGAAGAAGUGCCGCCACCUGCCAGAUGAAGGAGCCUUUUGAGAGGCAGCUGGCAUCGUGAUUGGACUGUACUUUGGUCUGUUCCAAUCCAGCUUCAGCUCCAGAGACGACAGGCGGGACGAGACAACGGAGGCCGGAUGGACGAAGACCAAAGAACUACAGACUCUUCACAACCUGCUCAAACUCUUGGUACAGGACCUCACCACACGGGUCAAGAAGAUUUCUGUCUCAUUUC